rnacentral:rRNA from 1 species
UGGGGAGUAUUGGACAAUGGGCGAAAGCCUGAUCCAGCCAUGCCGCAUGAGUGAGGAAGGCCUUUGGGUUGUAAAGCUCUUUUAGUGAGGAGGAUAAUGACGGUACUCACAGAAGAAGUCCUGGCUAACUCCGUGCCAGCAGCCGCGGUAAUACGGAGAGGGCUAGCGUUAUUCGGAAUUAUUGGGCGUAAAGGGCGCGUAGGCUGGUUAGUAAGUUAAAAGUGAAAUCCCGAGGCUUAACCUUGGAACUGCUUUUAAAACUGCUAACCUAGAGAUUGAAAGAGGAUAGAGGAAUUCCUAGUGUAGAGGUGAAAUUCGUAAAUAUUAGGAGGAACACCAGUGGCGAAGGCGUCUAUCUGGUUCAAAUCUGACGCUGAGGCGCGAAGGCGUGGGGAGCAAACA